UAUUUUGGACACCAGUUCCACUUCCUGAUGGUCAAUGUCUCUCUUCUUCCAACCAGUUCAUCAAGCUUGACAGCCACAUCAUCCUUCUCCUUCCUCUGCUUCUUUUCCCUUCAAUCUUUCCUGUCAUCACUAAAUUCUCCAAACCCUCUCUCCUCAUCACA